AUUGAACGCUAGCGGGAUGCCUUACACAUGCAAGUCGAACGGAGUGGCGGACGGGUGAGUAAUGUAACGGAACGUGCCCCGUCGCGGGGGAUAACUACGCGAACGCGUAACUAAUACCGCAUCCUCUUGCAGCGGCCGGUAGCGGAUUAGCUAGAGGUUGGGGUAACGGCUCACCAAGGCGACGACCCGUAGCUGGUGUGAGAGGACGACCAGCCACACUGGGACUGAGACACGGCCAAGACUCCUACGGGAGGCAGCAGUGGGGAAUUUUGGACAAUGGGGGAAACCCUGAUCCAGCCAUCCCGCGUGUGCGAUGAAGGCCUUCGGGUUGUAAAGCACUUUUGGCAGGAAAGCGGUACCUGCAGAAUAAGCACCGGCUAACUACGUGCCAGCAGCCGCGGUAAUUC
rnacentral:rRNA from 1 species